AGUGUUUGUGGACGGUAAGGUGCCCGAAGCGGCUUAAAAGGGAAUCUGGUGCAAAUCCGGAGCUGUCCCCGCAACUGUGAGUGCUACGAACGGAACGAUUUGCCACUGUACAUCCUCUACUUCUUGAGAAAUGUAUGGGAAGGCUUCUAAGUAGGUAAAGCACGAGUCAGGAGACCUGCCUUACUUCCACAAGUUUC
rnacentral:ncRNA from 2 species